GAUGAACGCUGGCGGCGUGCCUAAUACAUGCAAGUCGAGCGAACGGACGAGAAGCUUGCUUCUCUGAUGUUAGCGGCGGACGGGUGAGUAACACGUGGAUAACCUACCUAUAAGACUGGGAUAACUUCGGGAAACCGGAGCUAAUACCGGAUAAUAUUUUGAACCGCAUGGUUCAAAAGUGAAAGACGGUCUUGCUGUCACUUAUAGAUGGAUCCGCGCUGCAUUAGCUAGUUGGUAAGGUAACGGCUUACCAAGGCAACGAUGCAUAGCCGACCUGAGAGGGUGAUCGGCCACACGGGAACUGAGACACGGUCCAGACUCCUACGGGAGGCAGCAGUAGGGAAUCUUCCGCAAGGGGCGAAAGCCUGACGGAGCAACGCCGCGUGAGUGAUGAAGGUCUUCGGAUCGUAAAACUCUGUUAUUAGGGAAGAACAUAUGUGUAAGUAACUGUGCACAUCUUGACGGUACCGAAGCAGAAAGCCACGGCUAACUACGG
rnacentral:rRNA from 1 species